rnacentral:tRNA from 1 species
GGAGAGGUGCCCGGAGUGGUUUAUCGGGGACCGGUUCGCUGGUCGGGUGGCUUGCUGCUCGCGCAGGUUCGAAUCCUGCCCUCUCCG